AGAGGAGGGCGUGGCUUCUGGCGUUUGGCGGGUCUUUGUCUCUUGCUGGCGCUGGCACAGGAACUUGGGAUCCGUCUCCUCUUUCGCCUCCUCCGCUUUGGGAGCCCCGGGCUACUCUUUCACAGCCCCUGUUGCCCUGUGAUCUGUAGGUCCUUGGGGACGCACAGUUAAGAUGACAGGACAUCCUGGAAGCUGGGAAAUGAUAUGUAUUCAUUUCCUACCACCGUAGUGGAAGAGAGAUUUUCCCUAUCUUUACAACUGAUAGCAUUUCCAACAGUAAGCUGUGAGAUUCUGCUUGAAAUCACCUCUCAAACAAAUAAAAAACAGACCUGGGAGACAUGCUACACUCAUUCUGCUGAGGAAAUAGGCAUCAUAGCUGGGAAACGGAUUCACAAGACCCAGGCUGUUCCCUACAUAUGUUUCCUCCUCCGACAUCAGUUCAUCAGUCAAUCAAGCCAUGUGAGAGUGGAGGCCUUGUAUUCCCUAUUAUUCUUGGGCACUCUACUCCAAGUAGGAAAAGGCCAGGAGGUCCUGUUAAAGGAUGCACUCAGAGCCCGGGCUCCCUAACAUAUGAGAGUGCUAACCAGCAGGUGUAGACUUUUCAGGAGUGAAGAAUGAGGCAGGCAUUCCAAACCUGGACCUUCAUCACCUUUUGUUUCAUCUCAAGACAAUUCUGAGGGACUGUUUUGGAGCGUGUCUGGAAGGUGAACCUUGAAGAAGAGUGUGGGCUUUGAUGUGACUCAGUUGAGAUCUUUCAUGGGGAGGCAGGAAUUCAAUGCCCAGAAUCUGGGCUGGUGUCUUUGAGGUCAGUAGGUUGCGUCUUUGUAUCCAAGUCCAUUGUUACUAGGUUGGAGGCUGGAGAUUCUAAAUGGCUUCCAGACCAUCUCUCUGAUUCUCUUUGGGAGAUGGGGUCUGAAAGACAAUGUCAGUAGUUUUGGGAAAUUCUAGAAAGUGUGCUUGGAAACGUGGGAAGAGCUCUUGCCUAGUGCCUAAAUGCUCCAUUUGCAGCUCUAGCCAAGUAGAUACUUGGUAGGUAUAGAGCCGGGUUUGCGUUUAUAUCAGCAAAACCUAUGUCAGAGUUGAAGAAGUAGUCAGGAAAAAGCGUCUUGGUCGCAGGCCGGGGAACAUCUUAAAAGCAAACUUCUAGCCUGCUGACUCUUGGCAAUGAGUGUUGGAUCCUGGCUAAAGUGCCUUGAAUGCAGCAUGAGGCCAAUCCAUGAAUCCAACUUCUCAUGGAGAAAUGUUAAUAUUUUUUCAGUUUGAAUCAAUCAGGGUGAAACUACCAUGCUAUUGGUUUGCUUACUUUUUAUUAUUUCAUGUAAAAUCUAAGACAAAAUACAUUAAAUGCUUAUUGACAUAUGUAUUUAUUCUUCACCAGGCUGAUAAUAUCUGCCUAAUUUUAAACUUUCUUCCAUUUUGUAGGUUUCAACUUAUUCUAUUGUAAGAUACUGUUAAAUCUAAUAGAGGCAUUGUCACUUUUACGUAUAAUUUUAUUUUAUUUCAUAUAUUUCCUAUUGGCUUUUUACAUUUAAAUUAUGGAGCACUUCAUCAUAUAAAAAACUUCAAUUAUAUUUAAACAGUAAGUCUUUGGAUUUUUUUGCCUUGUAAUUUCCAUAUUACAUAAUAAUGAGAUAAACAUUAAUGUUUUCAGGGUACUUUAAAUUUUAGAUAAUUACUCAUUGUAUUCAUGUGAAAUUUGUUUUUACUGCAUGUGUGGGUUGGAGGACUGUUUUCACUUCUGAUUCAUCUUUACUCUUAUCUCAUCAGAGCUCAUACCUCUUGUAGUUGGGGGAUUGCAGUUUAUAAUUCCAAUAAAUGGGGCAAAUUCAAUAAUAACAUAAUACAAAUGAGUUUGAAUGCAGGACAGGUCUUCAAAGCAUACACAACAUGGGCCUACAUAUGUACAACAAUAAUAAUUUAUAAGUUACUGUUUGGAUGGAAAGUAAAAGUACAGAAAAUUUGUUAAAGGAAAUUAAAAUGGAGAUCAUGUCUCAAUAAUCUCUGAGCAGACAAAAUUAGUUAGGUCUCAUAAGUGAUCUCAACCUCGCUUGAUUUGCAAAUACAAACAAAACUUAAAUUAUUUCUUGUAGCUGCAUAUUGAAAAAAGAGAAAUGAAGCUCAACCAGUCAGAAGUAGCCAACAACCUUAUAUAAAUAGAAACUGUCCAACAAGGUAAACAGACAAACAAAAAACAAUAAAAAAAGUUGUGCUACCACCAAAUGAUUUCUUUGUUUCUACAUUUUUCAAAUAAAUACUUGCUUCUUACACUGUCAAUGAAGCACUCAAUAUCUUUCCGUCUGAUAUUUUAUAAUUUAUCAAUUGCUCUUACUCAAAUAAACACUUUGCAAUUUCA
rnacentral:lncRNA from 1 species